rnacentral:rRNA from 1 species
UACGGGGGGGGCAAGCGUUGUUCGGAAUUACUGUGCGUAAAGGGCGCGUAGGCGGCCAUCUAAGUCAGACGUGAAAUCCCUCGGCUCAACCGAGGAACUGCGUCUGAUACUGGAAGGCUUGAAUCCGGGAGAGGGAUGUGGAAUUCCAGGUGUAGCGGUGAAAUGCGUAGAUAUCUGGAGGAACACCGGUGGCGAAGGCGGCAUCCUGGACCGGUAUUGACGCUGAGGCGCGAAAGCUAGGGGAGCAAACGGG